rnacentral:lncRNA from 1 species
AUUUUGCUUCUUGCUCUUUGGACAGACAUAUAGGAUGUUUCAUUCUGUGUCUACCAAAGAAAACCACUCAUGAAUCUUCAUUAAUUUUUGUUUUAGAACCAACAUAUUCCUAUAAAUCUUGAAAAAUAUUUGGGUACUAAAUUACAAACAAAGAGACUACUUUUGAAGGACGUUUAGGAAGCACCCAGUCGUGAUAUAAGGAGUGGUGAAUGGCAUGCUGCCGUGUUCUGGAACUCAUGAUGGUUAUCAAACUGAACAGUCAUGGAGUCACAGUGUCCAGCCUGACAGAGCCUUACCGCCAAGCCAAGAACAGAAGCCAUGAAUGCCUUUGGGUCUGCUGGGAAGAGUUCAUGCUGAAACUCCUACACAAAUCAAGUCUAUGAAAGAAACGCAAGCCUUAGAAAAUGGAAACAGGCAGAACUCCAUCUACCAACUCGAGGAGAGACAGGAAACUGUCUGUCUGUCUCGGUCUGGGUGUGGAAAAAGGUUUUUCCCAAGAGAAAUUAACAUCAUACCCAUUAAUAAAUUAAAAAAAAUGCUUCCUGGAAAAAAUGGGUCUAGUAAAAUUUUCUCAGUAUAUAUCAGUAAUCAACCGCAAAUAAAACAAUAAAAUAAAAUAGCAGUAUAUACUUAGAAUAAGAGAGAAAAUGGGGAAGAUUGAUGUUUCUCAAUGAUGUUAUAAAGGAGGAUGGUGGGCGUGCUCACUGGUUAGCAGCAGGAGGGCAGACUGGUGCAUUUACUUUGGACAUCACCGUUAACGUUAUCUUGCAAGACUAAUAUCCUUAUCAUACGACUCCGAGAUCAUCCUUGGUAUCAACUACCCAGGAUGACAAGUGGGUCACAGCAUACAUCUGUGGUAUUACAGCAACCUUUGCUAUUGCCUGUAAUUGAAAACAGUGAAGAUUCCUUUCUAGCAGUAAAAGAACAAGCACACUGGGCCAUAUACUUGCAACAGAAUAGUAUCCAUCAAUAAAAAUAAUAGCCUAUCAUAGUUCAGGAGACUAGUUCUAAUGGGCAUUCUGUGACUUUUGGCUAUGAUUGCUAAUUUUAAAUAUUGUCCUACGUUAUGGUGUUGAGAUGUCUGGUCAAACAGCAGUAGAAUAGUUCUAAGAAAAAUUUUUUUAGAUGUGGUUUAAAUUUAAACUGAUUAACUUUGAGCAAAGCAUAUUAGUUUCCACAAUGUGAUAGGGUUUCAUCAGACCAGUUGAUAGCGUGAUAAGACAAGACGGCAGUUACUCAGAAGAAGCACGUUCAUAACUCUAACCUCCAAAUAGCCUUCAUAAUUCACACUAACCCUGUCUUAGUUUUUACCACUAUGAUGAAACACCAUGACCAGAAGCAAGUUGGGAAAGAAAAGAUUUGUUUGGCUUAUACUUCAACAUUACUAUAUUCUAUAUUCCCUCAUCAUUGAGGGAAGCCAGGACAGUGAGUGAACAAUGCUCUUGCAUUGGUUCGACUUGCAAUGCUUUGCUGGUCUUCACUGACUUCACUAGCCGUGACUUUGUAGAGAGAAAGGCAGCGAAGACCUCAUGAUAUUCUGGCUGCUUCUUGUCACUUUCAAAGGGUUGAGCCAAUUCAGUGGAGUUUUGCAGUUUUUUUCUGAAUCAAGCCUCUGGUACUGAUUCAUGUUUGCUGUUUGCUGAUUGGACUGGACUGCUGAUAUCAUCACAAUGAAGACUGGUGUUGUCCCAAAGAACUACUUCUAAACAGGUCCACAUCUUUCUUGUCUUAUUAACCAUUUCCUCCCCUAACUUUGCUCUUAAAGCAGGUUUUGAAAAAUCUCAGCCUGCAGGGCAGGAAUCAGGAGGCAAGAACUGAUGUAGGGGUGUCCAUGGAGGAUUGCUGAUUAAUGGUUUAUGUGUCAUUGCCUGCUCAGUCUGCUUUCUUACAGAACCCAAGGAAAUCACCCUAGAGAAGACAUUCCCCACAAUGCUUUGGGCCUUCUUACAUCCAUCACUAAUUAAGAAAACACCUAAGAAUGUUACUUACAGCCAGGUCUUAUGGAGGCAUUUUCCCAAUUGAGGUUUAAUUCUCUCAGAUGACUCUAGCUUGUGUUACGUUGAAGUAAGUUUUGUCAGCACAAUUAACCUCUUAUCAAACUGACAUACAAGCAUAUCGCUGUUAAGCCAUAACCCCUCCUUUCUUGUUCACCCACAAGAUAAUGCAUUAAUAUCAACCUUGCAAUAUGAAUAUUCCAAAAUCAAAAAACUCCCACCAUCUUUAAUGUCAAACAAUUUUAAAAAGUCUCUUACAAAUAGCCAGUCUCUUAACUCCAAGGUAUCUUUUAAAAACUCCAAGGUAUCUUUUAAAAAUUCAGUCUUCAACUGUUAGCACCCAUAAAAGCAAAAGCAAAUUCAAUUGAGUACCUUUUUACUUCAAGGUAAAUGGCACCGCCUAUUAAUUUAUUGAUAGUAAGAUGUAAACAUGGACACCCAGUCUGUCUCUUUGCUGGGCUCUACUCACUACUGCGUUCUCUCUGGGUGAUCCUGGCUCAGAGGCACUGGCUUCCUAGUCAGAUAUGGCGACUCUUCUCAUUCCUACAUGUGUUCUUAAAUCAACUUUUCCUUUGAAUGAUCUCAUCUAGAUCAUUUCUCAACAGUUACCUGAAUAUCACAGUUUUUUUUUUUCUAUAUAGUGUCUGCUGGGACUUUCCCAGGAUCCACAGGGUCUAGAAGAUUCCAGAUUUCCUGUAGAAGAUAUGAAUGAGCGAUUUUAGCCCUCAAGAACAUUCCCAGACCAAGAGGACAAGAUCUCUGCACUCUACAACAUAUAGUUGCUUUACCGUACGUUCCUCAAUAAAAUAUAUAGCUUGG